UAACCGCGUCACAACCUCCAUACUGCGUAGUCACCCCGUGCAGCAGCGUGGCAAGGAGAUGCGAAAAACACACUUCACGGGUUGGGCUGCCCAGAUUCGGACGGCUGCAUGCUGUUGCACCAGUCCUUGGGUUGCGUACCUGGACAUCCAUCAUAUGCAAUAGAAACAUGCUUCCGCUAUUUAUAAUUAUUUUUUAUAAUUUGGAUAUAGGCUGUGCGUCCUUUCGGACUUUCGCCUGGAGGACUACCGAACGAUUUGGAAUCCAUCCGCAAGCAUUAGCUAAUUAUUUUUAUCGAAGUAGACGCGCCAUGCAUCUCAUGCUUCUCUCUUGACUAGAUAGCGCUUCAAUGUUGGCUCAGCGAAGCCUGUGUCUUGAGCCAUCAGAUGAGCACCAACCGCGUCACAACCUCCAUACUGCGUAGUCACCCCGUGCAGCAGCGUGGCAAGGAGAUGCGCACAUCACCCCGGGCUUUGCGUCGCCAAACCGUCUGUUCUUGCGAUGCUUCACAGCAGCUCUAAGACCGACAAGCGAUGUAGCCCUACAGCAAAUCUGCUCGUAUAAAUGCUCACAUAUGCUCGGUUGGCAUUCCAUUCGUAGUUUUACCCUAAUACCCUAUCGCAAUACCAGUGCUGGUGUCUUCCCCGUCC
rnacentral:lncRNA from 1 species